AGCUCCAAUAGCGUAUAUUAAAGUUGUUGCAGUUAAAAAGCUCGUAGUUGAAUUUCUGGCCGGCGCUGUUCACGGCUCUCGCAGUCGGUUCAGGAGCCUGGUCAUCCGUAUGGGAAGCUAGCACGUCCUUCAGUGGUCGGCUAGUGGAUCAUACACUUUACUUUGAAAAAAUUAGAGUGUUUCAGGCAGGCAAUUGCUUGGAUACUGCAGCAUGGAAUAAUGGAAUAGGACUUUGACCUAUUUGUUGGUUUCUUGAGGUCAAAGUAAUGAUUAAUAGGGACAGUUAGGGGCAUCCGUAUUUAAUUGUCAGAGGUGAAAUUCUUGGAUUUAUUAAAGACGAACUUAUGCGAAAGCAUUUGCCAAGGAUGUUUUCA
rnacentral:rRNA from 1 species